rnacentral:rRNA from 1 species
AGAUUGAACGCUGGCGGCAUGCCUAACACAUGCAAGUCGAACGGGAGUAGCAAUACUCUAGUGGCGGACGGGUGAGGAAUACGUAGGAAUUUGCCCUUAAGUGGGGGAUAACCCGGGGAAACCCGGAUUAAUACCGCAUGACCUCGAAAGAGCAAAGUGGGGGAUCGCAAGACCUCACGCUUUUGGAGAAGCCUACGUCGGAUUAGCUAGUUGGUGAGGUAAUGGCUCACCAAGGCGACGAUCCGUAACUGGUCUGAGAGGAUGAUCAGUCACACCGGAACUGAGACACGGUCCGGACUCCUACGGGAGGCAGCAGUGGGGAAUAUUGGACAAUGGGCGCAAGCCCGAUCCAGCAAUGCCGCGUGUGUGAAGAAGGCCUGGUGUAAGCACUUAAGUUA